ensembl:lincRNA
AAUCUGCUGGCUGGGGCAGAAGAUGCUCACAGGCCUUCGGAAUUCAUGUUUUUGUGCUUUAGUCUCACAGAGGCUUCCUGCCCCUACAGCUGUUGGGUGUGUCCCUCCUGUUCCUGUGGCCCAGACCUAAAGAAAGGCUUCACAAAAAAGAAAAAAAAGAAUGCUAAAGCUAAAGCAGAAUCACAAGCACACGCGCGUGCACACACACACACACACACACACACACACACAGGGACCCACUGAACGGUUUAGAUUCUUAGACCCACGAGAUGGCACCUCAACGCUUUCCCUGUUAGAGUGUUUUUGGUUCACAUGUGCAAAACUAACUCGGCCCAGCCCUCCGACCUUCUCAGAGCCGGGAAGUUUGUGCUAGAUAGUGCAUUGUUUCCCCCGGGGGCCACUGAAGAGAAGGCUGCGUCCAGCAGUCCAGCACGAGCUGGAGUCCUCAAAGGUGCUGUUGCUCACUCAGCCAAGCACAACAGGAAGGGAGGUCACUGUGGUCGUCAGUGCCGGCAGGCGUGUCCUCUCCCGCUGCCCUCACUGUCCUCCUUGCUGCUGUAACCUCCCCCAGGAGGCCCCUCCCCCCUCCACCAGUUCAGCUCAGAUGUUCACCAGCUCAGCUUAGAGGCCUGCAGCUUCAACCUCUGCCUCCGUGGGGGGUCCCGUAGGCACUGCCCAGCACACCCACCCUCCCCAGGCUGUGCUGUGCCCACCCAGCAGCCUUACUGACCUUGGAGGUCUGCCCACGAGGCAGCCACACAGAAGCACAGCCCUUGUGCUGGUACCUUCCCCACUUCUCCGCCAGCUGCAGGAAGGGCUUCAGGGCUCAUCUUCUUCAGCUCUCACCGGGAAGGAGGACCGGCUGAGGCGAGCAGACACUCUUUCCAUACCUGAGGCGGGAAGAUAAUGCAGGAUGUUUGUUCCCACUCUUCCACCCCCCUGCCAAGACACUGCUGUGGGUCAAGGGCUCUUCUGGACGCAGUCCCGGAGGAUCCCCAGGUGGACUCACCUCCGCUCUUGAGCAGCAGCUCUGCCUGCUUCAGGGCCCAGUCUUCUACCUGUCUCAGGAGUUCAAAGACUGUGGCUGCUUUUCUCACCUCUGCCACCAAGGAGCAAGUGACGAAGCCUUCGCAGGCAAAUGGAUGUCAUCCUGUGAGAUCUGUUUCUCCAACUGAACAGCUUAACCCCAAGCAAUAUCGCAACAGGAAUGGUCUGAUGCACAGCAUGCAUUGGGCGGCGUGGGGAACAGUUAAGCACUGAGGUUCUGAAGUCAGACUGUCAAACUCAGAGGCUGCUGUUUGCCAGAGAACUUUGCCGCUUGCUCACUAUGAGAACUUGCACUUUGUAUUUUUCUACACAUCAGCAAUCAAACCAAUAGGUGAUAAGGAUUAUUUUUAAUGUUCCCAACAUUAACAGUAAUAUUUGAGAUAAUAAAUGUGCCAAUUACCCUGACCUGACCAUUACACAUUGCACAUGUGUAUGGAAGUCUCGCACCACAUAAUGCUGAUACCUGUGGUGGACUAACUAAUGGUCAACUCAUAACCCCAGCUGAACUGAAUCAGCAAGGUGCUGGGUGCAGAAGGCCCACCUGAGGAUUGUUGUCAGCAGCAUAGGAGGAGAACUGGAGGGCAGAUGGUGGGCUGGUGAUUCUCCUGGAGAAGCUUGUCACACUGGUUUUCUGAUAUGUAUUCAGCUGUUAUCACUGGAGGAGCUCAGGUCCUCGCUCUCACCGAGCAUGGCUGCGGUUCUCUUUGCCGGAGCUCUGGUCCUUGCCUUCAGUGUGGAUCCCUCAGCUACUGGCACACAUUCUUCAUCCUGUUGGCGCAGACUUUCUAGCUUCCACCAGGGUCUUUGUGCCUUCCUGGUGCAGAUCCGUGAUUCAGACUUUCAAGAGACAUUGUUGUGGGCCCUAGGCCUCCAGCUGGACUCAUACAGGACACUGCCAUGGGAUCCAGGCCCUCGGCUGGAUUCUUUGGGUUUCUAGUGCAUGGCAGAUCCUCUGUGCUCUUCUGCAGUUAAACAUGCAUAAUUUUGGGGCAAACGUAAUAAAAUAAUCC